rnacentral:rRNA from 1 species
CCUACGGGUUGCACCAGUGGGGAAUAUUGCACAAUGGGCGCAAGCCUGAUGCAGCCAUGCCGCGCGUGUGAAGAAGGCCUUCGGGUUGUAAAGCACUUUCAGCGGGGAGGAAGGCGGUGAGGUUAAUAACCUCACGGAUUGACGUUACCCGCAGAAGAAGUACCGGCUAACUCCGUGCCAGCAGCCGCGGUAAUACGGAGGGUGCAAGCGUUAAUCGGAAUUACUGGGCGUGAAGCGCACGCAGGCGCUCUGUCAAGUCGGAUGUGAAAUCCCCGGGCUCAACCUGGGAACUGCAUUCGAAACUGGCAGGCUAGAGUCUUGUAGAGGGGGGUAGAAUUCCAGGUGUAGCGGUGAAAUGCGUAGAGAUCUGGAGGAAUACCGGUGGCGAAGGCGGCCCCCUGGACAAAGACUGACGCUCAGGUGCGAAAGCGUGGGGAGCAAACAGGAUUAGAUACCCGGGUAGUC